AGUUAACUUUCAUCUUAUAAGAGCAUGCACAGAAUAAAUUUUAUCUUAGAUAUAAAAAAUUAUUUAUGAAAUAUUUACUUUCUGAUUAACAGUUAAAAAGUAGUAUUCAGUCUGCACUCUAUACAGCAUUUAAAAAGAACACAUCUUUUAACUGUACAUACUUUUAAAAUCUGUGAAUUUGUGUUAUAUACAGAAAAAUAAGAAACCAUUUCCCAAAUUUAAAAAUUUCCUAUUUUUUAUUCUUUGAGCAUAAUCGUAUUGCUCUGACAUCCUUUAGGAAAUUGAUCUUUCCUGAACCAGCUCAGUUGGUAAAAAGUCUGCCUGUAAUGCAGGAGAUACAGGUCUCCCACAUUGCAGGUGGAUUCUUUACUGAUUGAGCCAUAACCAAACCUUUUUUGAAACUGACCAGAGUUAUGAAAUUUAAACAUAAUGACUGCUUAUAAACUCUACAGUGCUUACAUGUGGAAGCAGUCCUUAAAAGUUUUUACCUAAAUUUUGAAUUAAGGGUGGACACUUAUGUGCCCUAGUGUAGAAGCAAUAUUUUUUUUUACUACCAGCAAAAUUUCAGUCAUUUUUACAAAUAUUAAUGUACUUUAAAUUGUAUACUGAUUGUUGUAUGUCCACAUAAAGGCUAAAUGUUACUGUAUGUUUAAUGUAAGAUGACUAUCCUGGAAAAUUCAAGUACGACUUUGGCUUACUUAAUUCCUCCUUAGUCAAAUCAAAGAACUUAGUGGUAGUGCUGUUAUAUUCCAACUAUCAGUGAAGGGAAGAACGGUUUUCAAUGUGACUAGAUUUUGCUGUUGUUAUAAUCACUAUUUAUGAAUCAAAAGGCAGAAUAAUUUAAGACCUAAUAGGCAAGUAGUUGCAGAUCUAAAAUUUAUAAGCUCAAAACUUGUAGCACUUUUUAUAUUGUAUGUUCUAAACUUCAUUUAAGGUAGCUUACAUAUUGAAUUUAUAUAACCAUAAAUGUAACCAUGAAGUUAAAAUGCCUUUUAGAGUCUUUCCCAUUGAAAUAAUUAUUUCACUAUACAAACUAAUGAUGUACCACAGUAGCGAUAAUUCUAUAUACAGUUCAUUUAUAGUUUAUGAUUGUGUCAUCAUGCUUUUGUGUUUUUGACUUUUUAAAAGAAUAGGUUAAAAAUCUGAACAAUCAUAAACAACACAAAGUGGCAGUCUUCAGCUACUUAACAGCAUUUAAACUAAAUGUAUUAAUUAAGGGAUUAUGUCCAUGGAGAAAAGUCUUUUUGAGUCAGUUUUACAGAAGCCAUUUUGAAAACACUAUAUAUCACCAUGUUAAUUUGAUGAUAGUAUCUAAAGUGACCUUUAUCCUGAUCUUGAAAAUAUCAAAUCCAAAAGAGAAAAUACUUUAAAGGAAAUUCAGUUGUAAUACAUGCAAUACAUUUUAGAAAUUUAUGUUCGAACAGAGUCACUUAAGAGUAGCUGCCAUACUUCUUCAGUUUAUACACACUAAAUUUAUAUUUCUUAACCACCAUUCUAUAAUAACGUUUUUUAAUCACCCAUAUUAUCCAUAUAACAGACUAUUAAGCUAUUAGUAUUAUGAUAGAGCAGUCCAGUCUGACAUCAUGUAAAAGUCAACUGCAAAUCUGAUUACUAAAUUCUUCCUUGAAAAUUUGCUGUGUUGUUAUAUUUUUUUAAAGUACAUUCUUGAAAACUAUGUUCUUGGUUUUUCAGAUAUCAUGUAAGAACAAUAUGUAGUGACAGUCAUUAUAUGAACAGUAGUUGAACUCAAAUUUUAUUUUUCUUCAUAUGAGUAUUAUGUUUU
ensembl:lncRNA